rnacentral:rRNA from 1 species
UACGUAGGUGGCAAGCGUUGUCCGGAUUUACUGGGCGUAAAGGGCUUGUAGGCGGUUCGUUAAGUCCGGUGUGAAAUCUCCCGGCUCAACUGGGAGGGGUCACUGGAUACUGGCGAACUAGAGGGGGGUAGAGGAGAGCAGAAUUCCUGGUGUAGCGGUGAAAUGCGUAGAUAUCAGGAGGAAUACCAGUGGCGAAGGCGGCUCUCUGGGCCUACCCUGACGCUGAGGAGCGAAAGCGUGGGGAGCAAACCGG